AUGCUCACUAUGGCAGUACAUAUAUUAAAACUGGAAUGAUACAGAGAAGAUUAGCAAAGCCCCUGUGCAAGGAUGACACACAAAUUCAUGAAGCAUUCCAUAUUUUU
ensembl:snRNA U6 U6 spliceosomal RNA